rnacentral:rRNA from 1 species
CACUUAGUUGAUGCAAGAUCGACUCUGUUGAAUAAAAUUCUAGGUAGAAUUAUGAUAAUGACAUUGUCUGCCUAUGUGUCUUGACCAAAUUACGUGCCAGCAGUCGCGGUAAUACGUAGAAGACUAGUGUUAUUCAUCUUUAAUAGGUUUAAAGGGUACCUAGACGGUAAAUCAAGCCUGCAAAGGGACUAAUCUACUAGAGUUACUUGUGAGGGGGUAUUAAAGUACUAGUGGUGUAGAGAUAAAAUUCGUUGAUACCUUUUUUUCUAAAAAAAACUAUGGCACAGGUAUAGGUGAAAGCAUCCCCUUAUGUGAUAACUGACGUUGAAGGACGAAGGCUUUGUGUCGCGAACAGGAUUAGAUACCCCAGUAGUCAAAGCAGAAAAUGAUGAAUGUCAUAUAUUAGACAUCUGAUAGUUUAUUAUAUAAAUGAAAGUGUAAGCAUUCCACCUCAAGAGUAAUUUGGCAACAUUGGAACUGAAAUCAUUAGACCGUUUCUGAAACCAGUAGUGAAGUAUGUUGUUUAAUUUGAUAAUCCGCAAAAAACCUUACCACAAUUUGAAUAUUUAUAUUUAUUUUUAUUUUUAGGUUUUAAUAAUCUUUUUAUAGAUAAAAAAAACAGAAAGGUAGGAAAAAUAUUUUUACAAGCGUUGCACGGCUGUCUUCAGUUAAUGUCGUGAGACUCUGGUUAGCUCCAUUAAAUUAACGUAAACCCUUACUUUAUUUUUAUAUA